AGGACUGUUCUACACUGCUAACAGCCGGAGAUAGGUUGAUUUGGUGGAGCCUACAGUCCUUACUGCAAACUAAUGCUGUGACCAGGAGAAGAAAGAUGUCUCUGCCUAUCCCUAGAUCUAGAAGGCAGUAAUACACCCCCUACCUCUAGAUUCAUUUAUCCAACCCCUGUUUCACCCCUAGCCAGAAGGAAAAUAGCAAAGAUUGGGACCGGAGACAAAAAAGAACUUUUGCAGACGUUUGACAUCAAGGGAAGCUCCGUGAAACAAGUGUUUGUAAAUCAGGAGUUUAAUCAGUUUGUGACUGUGGAUGAUGCCGGUAUAUUGUAUAUACUAGAUGAAUUUAUACCUGCAGUACCUGUUUUCAAGUAAACACAAAGCAACGGACACAUUGAUCGAGGGCCGGAAUAAUUAAACCGUGUUUUUGCAAAAUAAAAUCAAAAUGUCGUUUUUAUAGAUAAAGGCCCAAAAUUAAGAAAAUUAAGUUUUAUGAUACAG